CCUACGGGAGGCAGCAGUGAGGAAUAUUGGUCAAUGGACGAGAGUCUGAACCAGCCAAGUAGCGUGAAGGAUGACUGCCCUAUGGGUUGUAAACUUCUUUUAUAUGGGAAUAAAAUGUUCCACGUGUGGGAUUUUGUAUGUACCAUAUGAAUAAGGAUCGGCUAACUCCGUGCCAGCCGCCGCGGUAAUACGGAGGAUCCGAGCGUUAUCCGGAUUUAUUGGGUUUAAAGGGAGCGUAGGUGGAGUGUUAAGUCAGUUGUGAAAGUUUGCGGCUCAACCGUAAAAUUGCAGUUGAAACUGGCAGUCUUGAGUACAGUAGAGGUGGGCGGAAUUCGUGGUGUAGCGGUGAAAUGCUUAGAUAUCACGAAGAACUCCGAUUGCGAAGGCAGCUCACUGGACUGCAACUGACACUGAGGCUCGAAAGUGUGGGUAUCAAACAGGAUUAGAUACCCCUGUAGUC
rnacentral:rRNA from 1 species